rnacentral:rRNA from 1 species
UAAGUGUGAAGCCAACUCUAAGAUAAGAUAUCUCAUAUCGUAAGGUAGUAAGAUUCCAUAAAGACUAUGUGGUUGAUAGGUUGGAGGUGUAAGUGUAGCGAUACAUUGAGCUGACCAAUACUAAUAAAUCGAGGGCUUAACCACUAAUAU